UGGGGAAUUUUGCGCAAUGGGCUAACGCCUGACGCAGCAACGCCGCGUGGAGGAUGAAGGUCUUUGGAUUGUAAACUCCUGUCAGCAGGGAAAAAGGGAAGGGGCUUAAUACGCUUCUGACUUGAUUGUACCUGCAGAGGAAGCCCCGGCUAACUCUGUGCCAGCAGCCGCGGUAAUACAGAGGGGGCGAGCGUUAUUCGGAAUUAUUGGGCGUAAAGGGCGCGUAGGCGGCGAUUCAAGUGACGGGUGAAAUCCCUCGGCUUAACCGAGGAACUGCCUGUCAGACUGGAUGGCUUGAGACCGGGAGAGGUGAGUGGAAUUCCCAGUGUAGCGGUGAAAUGCGUAGAUAUUGGGAGGAACACCAGUGGCGAAGGCGGCUCACUGGACCGGUACUGACGCUGAGGCGCGAAAGCGUGGGGAGCAAACAG
rnacentral:rRNA from 1 species